AUUAAAGCAUUGAAGGAAAGUAUUAGAGAACAUGCUGAUAUAGAGAGUUACUGGCUGGUGAAAAGUAAUGAAAGUGUGCACUUGAACUCGUUCUGGAGCUGUCAGAAUGAUUAGUAGUUCUGAUCGGUAGUUACCGUUACUGAUGCAUUUAAGUGGGAAAUUGUGUCUUAUACUGAUUCAUGAUUUUCAAUUAGAGUGGUACCGCGAGCCUUCGCCUCUAAA
rnacentral:ncRNA from 1 species